CGAGAUCUGUACACACAUGAUAGUCUAAGCAGAGCUCUGCUGGCAAUUUUUUCACCCUGUAGUGUCACCCAUCUCCUCUGAUUUUAUCAGGAUCCAGGAACACCUACAGCAGCGGCUUCUUGAGAUUUGUCAGCUCCAGUGCCAACAUCACUUGUUGUUUCCAUUCCUGUAACCACUACCCAAAACCAGAUUGAGAAUAAAUGCUGCCAUAACCCUGGACACGCUCCCUCUGGCCCCAGUCAUUCGAUGCCAGCGCAGCCCAGGUCUUAGGACGAGAAGAUUGAGUUCCUCAAGGUCCUCAUUUCACACUGAUCUUUAGUGACCUGCCAGGACCCUUCCGUGGUUCACUGAUUGAUUUCCUUUAAUCCCCUGCUCUCCACUCCUACAACAAAACCUUCCAUCCUUGCAAGAAUUCUAGUGUAUCUUUUUGUUUGAAUGUGUUUUUAAAAAAUUUGUCUGUUGUUUCAACAAAUUUUUAUUAACGUUUGAUGAGUUUUUACACAAAUGGU